GUCAUGUAAUGUUUAGUUUAAAACGAAAACGGCCAAGACACAAUAUUUGAAUAUUAUUAUUAUUAUAGUUGAAACGAAUUCAAUCGCGCUGACCUUCGUGCAAUAUUAUAUCGAAGACACGGUUAUGACAGCUGGUAUAGGUAACUAUAAAAACAUAUUUACCGUACGAAUAAAACUUAAGAGACUUCAUAAAUAACCAACAAUUUAAAAUACAUAUUACUCGGGUUCAACCACUCGGGCGUUAUUAAACGCUCUAUGUAUACAAAAUAUAUACGUACCUUAGAGUUAAAAACAAACACCGUACAUUUAUGAGAUUUUUAACUAUAAAAAUUAUUUUACGACUGAAUUAUGAGCAACAAUUAUAUGAUAUUUUGAGAAAUUUUGUAUCACUAUAACUACAGUCAUUGUAUUAUGUACAAAUAAAAUUUACAAAAGUCACAUGUAAAUAUAGGUAAAUAACGAAGCUAUGCCCGAUCGUAAUCGGCUGUACCAUAAUAAUCGUAUGGAUAAAACGAUGAUAUGAUUACAGAGAAAUUGAGUUUAUUGAUUUAUUGAAUGAUACGAAGUGAUACACUAAUAACUUAUAUUAUAAUAACACGCGAUAACCAGUGCCAUAAAAGAUCAACAUUACCACAAAUUUUUCCAAGUUAGCUACAAUUAAAAAAAAUAAUUAAAGAUUGCGGAAAGCACAAAGUUCACUGAACAAGGUCUAAAAUAUACACCCUAGCCUACGCGUUCUAUGGCUAUCUUAUAACUAUCUAACAUGGAUCUUUUGAAAUAUAAACACAUCAAUUUCAGAAAUUUAAUUGAAAAGUUUCUCGUAAUGUUUGAUUGUAUAGAUAAACUUCCGUAGGAAAAUCGGUUAAUAUAUAGAUGAAGGUCGUUUAUCAGAUAUUUCAAACGGACUAAACGGACCGUGUUUUGAUACCACUCGAGGGACUCACUCAAUCAAUUUGAACUUGCUUUUUGUUAUACGUUUUCCAUUUGAUGUUUAAUAAGUUUGACACGACGUGCCGCAGGUAGUAGUGACCUAUACGUUUUGCAGUCCCUACUUCAGUUAAAUUACUCUUAUAAUAGUCUCGUGUAACAGAGAAGAAAAAACAAAGAUUAUGAGAUAAUGUCAUAGCAAAUGAAAACCGAAUGAUUUAUAAACAGUUUAAUAUUAUUAUGUCAUAUAUGACGUGUAGUAACUACAAUUUGCAAAAAUGAGGAAGUUAAAAAAUUUAAAUAAAUACAUAAACACAAUAAUAUUUUAUAAAAAAAAUUAUGCAUACCUAAUUAUAUUAGACUAAUCGAUAGAAAAUGUAACAUAA